GUAGCGAAAUUCCUUGUCGGGUAAGUUCCGACCUGCACGAAUGGCGUAACGACUUGGGCGCUGUCUCAACCAUGGACCCGGUGAAAUUGCACUGUUCGUGAAGAUGCGAACUACCCGCGGAAGGACGGAAAGACCCCGUGAACCUUUACUACAGCUUGGCAUUGAUCGUUGGCUCGGUGCGUAGAGGAUAGGUGGGAGGCUUUGAACCCCGGGCGCCAGCCCGGGCGGAGCCGCCCUUGGAAUACCACCCUCACCGUUCCGGCGAUCUAACGCGCGGCCGCGAUCCGGCGCGCGGACCGUGCCAGGCGGGUAGUUUGACUGGGGCGGUCGCCUCCUAAAGUGUAACGGAGGCGUGCGUAAGGUUCGCUCAGGACGGUCGGCAACCGUCCGCAGAGCACAAGAGUACAAGCGGGCUUGACUGCGAGGCCGACGAGCCGAGCAGAUGGGAAACCAGGUUCUAGUGAUCCGGCGGCCCGGCGUGGAACGGCCGUCGCUCAACGGAUAAAAGGUACUCCGGGGAUAACAGGCUGAUCUUGCCCAAGAGUCCACAUCGACGGCAAGGUUUGGCACCUCGAUGUCGGCUCAUCGCAUCCUGGGGCUGUAGCAGGUCCCAAGGGUUGGGCUGUUCGCCCAUUAAAGCGGUACGCGAGCUGGGUUCAGAACGUCGUGAGACAGUUCGGUCCCUAUCCUCCGCGGGCGCAAGAGAACUGAGGAGAUCUGCCCCUAGUACGAGAGGACCGGGGUGGACGGACCUCCGGUGCAGCGGUUGUCGGCCAACGGCACUGCCGCGUAGCUGCGUCCGGAACGGAUAAGCGCUGAAGGCAUCUAAGCGCGAAGCCGUCUCCAAGAUGAGUUCUCUUUCCGGUAAGACCCCUCGUAGACCACGAGGUUGAUAGGCCGCAGCUGCAAGCGCCGCGAGGCGCUCAGGCGAGCGGUACUAAUCGGUCGAGCUCUUCAUCUU
rnacentral:rRNA from 1 species